UACAGAGGCCACAAGCGUUAGUCGGAAUCACUGGGCUUAAAGGGUGCGUAGGCGGCUUGUCAAGUGUCUUGUGAAAUACCUUAGCUCAACUAAGGAACAGCAGGGCAUACUGAUAGGCUCGAGAGAUGUAAGGGUCGCUAGAACAGUAGGUGGAGCGGUGAAAUGCGUAGAUAUCUACUGGAAUGCCGAUGGUGAAGACGAGCGACUGGGCAUUUUCUGACGCUGAGGCACGAAAGCGUGGGGAGCAAACAGC
rnacentral:rRNA from 1 species